GUGACGUUUUACGCAAAACAUUGGCAUGAACUUGAUCUGUCCUGCACCUGAGAAAUAGACACCUGUUAGGAGAUAAUUUUAGGUUAUCAUUUGCGUUAGAACUUUGUUUAACGUUGUUAAACAGAUUCAGUUGCAAACAAACAUGCCGAAAAUCGUGGAAUGUGUUCCCAAUUUCUCCGUCGGGAGAAGUAAAGAGAUCAUAGAAGCCAUAGCCACAGCCAUCGCGUCGGUUGAAGGUGUGAGCGUGCUAGAUGUUGACCCUGGACUCUCUACCAAUCGGACUGUGUACACAUUCGUGGGUACGCCAGAGUCUGUGGUGGAGGGAGCGCUAGCUGGUGCCCGGGUCGCUUACCAGGCCAUUGACAUGCGCAUCCAUCUAGGUGAGCACCCACGUAUAGGUGCGUUGGAUGUCUGUCCGUUCAUCCCAGUACAGAAUGUGACCAUGGAGGAAUGUGUGGAGUGUGCAAAGGAAUUCGGGGAAAAGCUUGCCAUUGAACUCGGUGUGCCAGUGUACCUAUAUGCAGAGGCUGCUAUAGACGGUCACCGGAAGACUCUUCCUCAGAUCAGAGCUGGGGAAUAUGAGGGGCUGCCUGAGAAAAUUCAUAAACCGGAAUGGAAGCCAGAUUUUGGCCCUGCAGAAUUUGUGCCAACCUGGGGUGCCACCGUUACGGGCGCUCGUAAGUUCCUCAUCGCGUUUAACAUCAACCUGCUGGGUACCAAGGAACAGGCUCACAGGAUCGCACUUAAUAUACGAGAGCAGGGUCGCAGCAAAGAUGAGCCAGGCCUUCUGAAGCAUGUACAGGCUAUAGGCUGGUACCUUGAGGAGGCAAACAUGGCCCAGGUGUCUGUAAACAUCACAGAUUUUGAGGAGACUGGUAUACACACAGUAUAUGAGGCUGUGUGCAAGGAUGCAGAGGAGUUGAACCUGGCAGUGGUUGGUUCCCAGAUAGUUGGUUUGGUUCCCCUCGCGGCACUGAUGGCCACUGCCCAGCACUACAUGGACAAUAGCAGCCUCUUCAUUCUGGAGGAUGACCAGAAACUCAGACUGGUAAUCAACAGACUUGGCUUAAACUCGCUAGGUGCAUUUAGUCCAAAAGAGAGAAUUAUUGAGUACAUGAUCUCAGAAGAGAGAGAGGGACCCCUGGUUACCAUGGAUGUGAAGGAUUUCAUCCUCACUGUGGGGUCAAGGUCACCAACCCCUGGUGGGGGGUCAGUCGCAGCACUGGCGGCGUCAUUGGGUGCAGCGCUAGGCUCAAUGGUAGGGUUCCUCACCUAUGGCAACAAGAAGUUCUUUGAGCUGGAUGCCCAAAUGAGGCAGCUGAUUCCACCCUUGUACAAGGCCAUGAAAGACCUCACGCCUUUCAUUGAUGCAGACGCUGCAGCCUUCAGUGAAUAUAUGCUGGCCUUGAAAUUACCAGCAGAAUCGGAAGAAGAAAAGAAUGUGCGUACCGCAGCCCUCCAGGAGGGGCUGUGUACUGCGGUGCAGGUGCCCCUCACAGUGGCCAGGAUCAGUAACAGUCUGUGGGGUCCCCUGAGGGGGCUGGCUGCCGUGGGCAACAUCAACUGCAAGUCUGAUCUGCAGGUGGGUGUCCGUAUGCUGGAGACAGCUGUGUGGGGAGCCUACUACAAUGUGAAGACAAACCUGAAGGAUAUCGCAGAUGUCGAGUUCAGGACAAAGAUUGGAGAGGAGAUUGAUGGUGCAAUAAAGCAGGCACAGGAGAAUUGUGCUGCAAUCCUGAAGAUUGUUGAUGAACGCAAAGAGUAACUUCUAGUCCCGGCAUCCCGGCAUAACCAAUGUGGUUCAGAGCGUGGUUAAAUUGGAUACAAGUCACACUGUUUUAAAAACAUUCUGAAUGACAAAAGACAAAGGCAUAAUAUUUUAUUAUGGGUCAUUAUAAGUGUUCUAAAAUAAAGUUCUGACUGUCAUCAUGUGCUAUCCAUCUUAUGGCUUUCACUAAGUUAUGUUGUUAAGUAAAUAUCUGUAUGACUCUGAAGGUGUAUUUUUAGUUAAACAUUGUGUUUUUUCUUAGUUUUGAAUGAGAUACAUUUUAAAGUACUAUUGAUGAGAUGUAAUGCUUAUAAUUAAAAUACAUUUAAUACUUACUUUAUUUUUAGCCAGAAUUACAAUCAGUUAAGAAAAAUACAAAAACUACGUAAAUUUCAAUAAAAUAACCAUAAAGGAACAUCUUUAGAGGGAUUUAUUUGCAGAUUUGCAAUGUGAGAAUUAAACAAAUGGUAUUGGAUUUGAAAAAGAAUGUAUACAUGUAUAUUAUUUAUAAUCAAGAAAAAUAGCCCCAAUGACCAAAACUGAUAUGCAAGAAAUAAUGACGUGUUCUUAAAAAAAUGACAAUCUUUCAAAAAGCCCCUUUAAUUCACCAAACGCGAAUCAUGUAUUACAACCUUUUUAUUUUAACAAAUUUGAGGGUUAUAUAAUAAGAAUAAUUUUUUAGCCAUCCAAUUAUUUAUAAGUGUUGUAUGGUAUAAAUACAGUCAGCACAUUAUCUUUAACCUUUUAUUCAUUAACCCUCUAAAUCUUUGAAAUCCAUCAGCCAUGAUUUAAAAAUAGUGUUGGACUGAUAAGCUUUUUAAUACCUUUUGUAUGCAUAUGUAUUUUUACAAGCAAUCAUUCCAACAGUCUGUGAUAUGUUUUAAAAUACAUUAAGACGUUUACAAGUUCAUUGAAGUAUUUAAGCUUUGUAUUGUUUAAACCUUGAUCAUUACUUACAUCAAAUGUAUUUAGUUUUUUAAAUGACACAAUGGAUUAUUGUAAGUGUUAUAUGCAUUGAAAAUGCAUUCAUAAUUUUGCAUUUAUUUCACUGCUUUUUACCAUUAAUUGUUCUGUCUUUUCUUGUGAUUUUCCUGUUUUUACACUGUGAGUUUCAGAAAGAUUUGUUUUCUUUUUUAAUUUUUCUGAAUUGGUUUGGGUAUUUUAUUUUGACAUUCCCCUCCCUAAGUUUGUUUCUCCAGUAUCAAUAGGUUUUAAUUGCACAUAAUUUUGUGUAGUAAUAUAUAUGCCAUGCCACAUUUCAAGUGUAUUAAUUCAUCAUUAUAUUUUAAGUCACAUACGUUGUUAAAAUAAAACAUAUUUUUGUAAACAUAUUACCAGUUACAAGCAGGGUCAUACAUAUAACCGUCCAAUUUAUCGUUUAUAUUUUAGAGUCAGGUACUUGAGGAGUGAGUCUUUGAUUCAUUGUGCUUAAUAACCUGUUUGUGUAAUUUAGGGGUAGGCACUGUAUGAUGUAAAUGCAAAACAAAUAUAAGGACAUAUCUGUUUUACAUGGGUAUUUAGGUAAGUUAAAUAUAAAAAAUAAUAUCUGAAAAAGCUUGAAAAACCUGGAACGUUUAAUUGAAAUUCUGGUAACUAAUUUUCUGCUCUGUAAAAGGAUUGUUAUUUUUCAAACUUGAAAUAUUUUAUAUGUUAUGAUAAUUUAAGACUGCAAGUUAAAAGCAUAAUGGUUUUGCUUUUAUUUUAUUUUUUGAGUUGUUUUGCAAAAUUAGCAACUGAAUGUGGUGAGUUUUAAUGAAAAAUUGUAGAAAGAGUAAUGAAUUACUUGUGUGUUUGUUUUUUAGAGAACUAUUUUAAUUAAAGAUAUAUUAAGUCUCCUGGUAUUUGUCUUAUGCAUGUAUUAAACCAUGCAAUGGAAACUGCUGUUGAUUGACAAUUAAUUGUGUGAGAAAAGUGUAUAAUGAUAUUCAGAAUGAUUUUCAAGCGCUUUUGCUUUUUGAUUGUGUGAUUUUGCAUUUGCCAGUGUUGCAUAUUGCUUCAAUAGGUGUACAUUGUGGCCCUUUUAUCAUCAUUUUUAUGAGCCGCGCUUUGUGAAAAGGGAAUGUGUGUAAGGUGUUGUCCCGGAUUAGCCUGUGCAGUCAGCACAGGCUAAUAUGGGAUGACACUUUAAGCUUUUAUGAUAGUUUUUGUUUCAAGAAAGUCUUUCCUUAGCAAAAAUUAAGUUUUUGCGGAAAGUGUUGUCCCUCAUUUGCUUGUGCGAACUGCACAGGCUAAUCUGGGACGACACUUUACGCCCAUGCAUUAAACCACUUUUUCACAGAGCACGGUUUAUAUACAUGUCUUAUUGUAUGAGUAUGUGUAUUUAAGAAGUUUGUGUCUUAGCAUUAUAAGUUCCAAUUGUUUCAAAUAUGUGGUCACACAUUGUUUUUAAUUUAUGUUUACCCAAGGCUCAAACUAGAGUAGAACAAGUACAAGACUUUAAAAUUAUUAUAAACAUUUGGGCCGUGCUCUGUGAAAAAGGGGUUGAAUGCAUGUGCAUAAAGUGUCGUCCCAGAUUUACCUGUGCAGUCUGAACUGUCUAAUCAGAGACGACACUUUCCGCCUUUAUGAUAAAUUUCGUUUCAAGAAAGUCUCUUCUUAGCAAAAAAUCAAGUUUAGGCGGAACGUGUCGUUCCUGAUUAGACUCCGCGGACUGCACAGGCUAAUCUGGAACGACUUUUUACGCACAUGUAUUAAACCCCUUUUACACUGAGCGGGGCUCAUUUUUUGAAUGGUACCUGCUAUUUUAUACAUUUGUUGAAUGAUUGACACAUCCUCGGUAGUAAUUGUAACUAUUUUAUCAGGGUUUAUGUAUGUAAACACGAAGGUCAAUUAUACAAUCAGUAUUAUAGGAAGAUAUGACCCAAAUCAUGUGAAACUGUUUCUGAUUCCAUAGUGAACAGGGUAGCUCCAGACCAGUAUUGUGCGCAUGCUGGUCUGGAACAAUGCUGACCACAUGUGGCAUAAGACCCAUUUUCUCAUGACUGGGCUUAUACAGUGAUAAAACUCAUUCGCAAGCUGUUCUGGUUUUAUGCUGGUUGCAAAAGCCAUUUUCACUUUGCUUCUGAGUGGGAAAGGGUUAAGCUUGCCACCAUAAGCUAUUUAUUGUUAAGUGUGGUUUUACAUUAUUAUUGUUAUAGCUUCGACUUAUUAUCAAAUGGUUUGCUUAUUUUACUACGUAAGUAGGUAUUUUCGCUGUUUGUACAUUAUCAAAGGUAUAAAUAAGUACAAUGUUUAUACUGCAUUAUGCUCAGCUUGACAAUUUAAGAACAUUGGUUUCAACAACGUUUUUCAUGAUUUGUACCUACACCAUGUUGUUGGGUAUUAAGUUUGGUCUUGCUUUUAAAUUUCAUUUCAUCCUGUUUUAUUCAUGCAUAAUGACAUAAUAUUUUACCAAUGGCUUAAAAUUAACUGUAACAUUAGUAUGAUAGUGGCCUUGUAUUUUAUGCAUUAUAGGAACAUUCAUACAUCAUGUAUGUAGGGUUUUACAAAUUACAAUGCGAGUUAAGACCUCAUACUGUUGAAAGUUUAUUUUUAUGUCCCCCACCACUAUAGUGGGGGACAUAUUGUUUUUGCCCUGUCUGUUGGUUUGUUUGUGUGUUUGCUUGUUUGUUUGCGCCAACUUUAACAUUUGCAAUAACUUUUGAAAUAUUGAAGAUAGCAACUUGAUGUUUGGCAUGCAUGUGUAUCUCAUGGAGCUGCACAUUCUGAGUGGUGAAAGGUCAAGGUCAUCCUUCAAGGUCAAAGGUCAAAUAUAUAGCUUCAAAGCGGCGCAAAAGGGGAGAUAGUGUUUCUGACAAACACAUAUCUUGUUCUGUCCUUAAUAUCACAUUUUGUCCAUCCUUUACUUUCAAACAGCAGGCAGUUGGUUUCAUGUAUGUGGAUAACUAAUUAAUUAUGGCACGAUUUAGAAGUCUUUAAAUUCUCAUAUAAAAUUAAUGCAUAAUUAUUUGCAUAGUUUUGGAGCUAAGUGUGAAAAUUGCAACUUUUUCUGUUGUGUUUAGCUUAAAAUACUGUUACUGCAACCCGAAAUAUACAAGUUUUUGUUGA